AGCUUUGUGCAGUGGUAGUAUCGUAGCCAAUGAGGUUUAUCUAAGGUGCAAUUAUUGCUAAUUAAAAGACCUGGCCCACAGCUCACCACUGAAUAAAUCCAAAAAGCCCACAACCAGGUAAACUCUAAAAUCUCUUCCAGUUGUAGGAG
ensembl:snRNA U4 U4 spliceosomal RNA